rnacentral:rRNA from 1 species
AUUAAGCAAGGGCGUAUGGAGGAUGCCUUGACAUUAAGAGGCGAUGAAGGUCGUGGCGUGACUGCGAUAAGCUUCGGGGAGCCGUCU